GAUGAAGAACGCAGCGAAAUGCGAUACUUGGUGUGAAUUGCAGAAUCCCGUGAACCAUCGAGUCUUUGAACGCAAGUUGCGCCCGAAGCCAUUAGGCCGAGGGCACGCCUGCCUGGGCGUCACACGUCGUUGCCCCCCCAUCUACUCCUUCGGGAUUGCGGGGGGCGGAUGAUGGCCUCCCGUGCGCCUCGCCGCGCGGUUGGCAUAAAUGCCAAGUCCUCGGCGACGCACGCCACGACAAUCGGUGGUUGCGAAACCUCGGUCGCCCGUCGUGUGCGGUCGUCGCGCAUCGAGGGCUCGAAAAAAUUGCCGGGUUCCGGCUCGGCUUUCAACGCGACCCCAGGUCAGGCGGGGUUACCCGCUGAAUUUAAGCAUAUCAAUAGCGGAGGA
rnacentral:misc_RNA from 1 species